AGAGAACAAACUACCAAUUAACGAGCGAGGAAACAGGGCCAGAGAAUUGGAACAAAAUACAAGGCUGCCUCUGAAAGGAAUAUCUUUGUGCUGAUGUGUCCAUCAAGAGAACAUACACAGAAGUGACACUUGCCAGUAAUUUGCAAGCAGAUGGAACUUCAAUAUGGCAAUAGAGAAAGAAUCAAUUAGACCAGAGUCUCCUCAGGAAGACUUUCUAUAGGUGGACGGUCCCCUGGAGAGCCCGCUGUGUUGGAAGAUGUAGAAUAUUCAUAUAUCUGGUGAGCAUCUGCUAGAUGCCAGGGUUGGGGAGAGUCAAGUUGAAGCAAGCAUGAACCCUCAAGGACCUACCAUUUCAAGGCAAGAAAUAGAUACAAAUACAGAAAAUAUUUACUGGAUAGCUACUAGACAUAAGGAUGCAGAAAUGAAUUAGAAAAAUUCCUCGCCCUUGUUCAAAGCUAUGCUGGCUCUUAGAACAUCUGAGCCCCCACUGUUUCAUCUUUAGAGGAUCCCAGCUGCUGGGGUGUGAGGCCAGUGCUGGAGCCAGCAGUCUCUGACCCAGAAGGGACCUGAGGUGCUAAAGAAAAGGGUACAAGCUGGAAAAGGGGAAAAUGAAUCAUGCUACAGGCCAAGUGUCCAUCACUGAUUCCCAGAGAUGCCCUUUGUGUGGUCAUAAGACCCUAAUUCCAGAGGGCCCUACCCUAUAACCAGAAGGAAGAACUAUUGCACAGAGAAUCUAAGAAGAAUCUAGACAGACAGCCCUUGCUGGAUUUCUCCACUCUGUUAGCAUUCGAUCAUUUGCCUUUUGUCCAGUCAUAUUUCUGCAUGGCUGUCCAUACUUUGUUGAACCUAAGCACAAAAUGGAAAGUUUUCCCUGUAUCUUUGGGUCGUCAUUCUGAAGGCUCCCAUGUUAUGUAAAACUAUGAUCAAAUAAAUAUGCAUGCCUUUUCUCCUAUAA
ensembl:lncRNA LINC01643 long intergenic non-protein coding RNA 1643